CGAGGCGUAACCAGGGGCGGGGUUCCCAGGACGGCCAGGUGGGCGGAAUCUAGGCGUUUUCCCCGCCCCGCCCCCUGAGGCCUGACACAUGCGCCCGAAAGCUUCUGGUGGAACGAGGUGUGGAUUGUGUGAUGACCCUGACCGCCAACUUCCGGUUCCUAGGGAUGCGCAUCCGGGUCACACUAACGCCGCCGUUUCCUCCAGCCGCUUGGUAUUCCUGUGUGUUUGGACCAGUCCCCAUGUCCUACUGUGGGGCCUCUGCAGCCUUUGGUUCUUAACUUUGCUAUAGGUUCAGUUCAGUUCAGUCGCUCAGUCUUGUCCGACUCUUUGCAAGCCCACGGACUGCAGCACGCCAGGCCUCCCUGACCAUCCACACCUCCCGGAGUUUACUCAGACUGAUGUCCAUUGAUUCAGUGAUGCCAUCCAACCAUCUCAUCCUCUGUUGUCCCCUUAGGAAGGAGUGAUUAGAUAACACUGAAAAAUAAAUGUUCUUGAGAGUGAGUUCUAUAGCUUUUGCUUAUCUGUCGUAUUGGUGUGGUAUUUAAUAGCUAGACGAACUGAAACUAUCUCAUUUCUGUGUAUUUCCUGUUAGUAUAUAUUUAGCUCAUUUCUGUGUAUCUCCUGUUAUAUAUUUAUUCAGUGUUGGUACCUCUCAUGCUGUGAAAUUGUUGUUUAUUUGGAAUAAUUAUGAUAAACUAUUGAUUAUUACCCAGAUGGUUUAUUUUC
ensembl:lncRNA